rnacentral:rRNA from 1 species
AUUGAACGCUGGCGGCAGGCCUAACACAUGCAAGUCGAGCGAGCGGCGGACGGGUGAGGAAUGUAUGGGGACUGCCCGAUAGAGGGGGAUAACUACUGGAAACGGUAGCUAAUACCGCAUACUAUCGGAUAACCCAUAUGGGAUUAGCUAGUAGGUGAGGUAAUGGCUCACCUAGGCGACGAUCCCUAGCUGGUUUGAGAGGAUGAUCAGCCAAACCGCGACUGAGACACGGCCCGGACUCCUACGGAGGCAGCAGUGGGGACUAUUGCACAAUGGGCGCAAGCCUGAUGCAGCCAUGCCGCGUGCAUUAAGAAGGCCCUAGGGUUGUAACGUACUUUCAGUCGGGAGGCGUUACCGACAGAAGAAGCACCGGCUAACUCCGUGCCAGCAGCCGCGGUAAUUC